AUUGUCGCUAGGUGGUUUAAAAAAAAAAAAGUCGUCAAGGGGGUCUGAAAAGUCGCUAAAUCUAGCGACAAAGUCGCUAAAUUGGCAACACUGGCCGUAGGGGGGGCGAUACCUCAGCACCAUGGCCAUGGGGCGGGCGAUACUUCAGCACCAGGCUAGUUUGAGUGGAAUGGAAGAGUGUGGUUUUUUUCUGGUGACUGGAGUGCCAAUUCUGCCACCAACCCCCAAAUUUCCCCUGCAAGUUGGAGGACUUCCUUAUAGGGCUGGAUAUAGAUUAAAAUCAUAUCCAGGACAGAGAAAUUGCAUGUUUUAAAUUAACAUUAUGCCUGUAAUACACAUUUCGCAACAGGACCGAGAGUGCAUACCCUCAUCUAUUUCUGUAAGUAUUUUAUUAUUAUUUUAUUGUGAAUGUAGUUGCAUGGAUGUCGACCCUCUUUUUGGUGACGCAGGGAGGAACGUGUCUGGCUUCACCCAAAACUUUCAUUCCUCGGCAGAGAAACGCUUCAUCGGCACGUGACUCAGCAGCCAUUGGGAAGCUGCUUUCAACACAGAAGAUUCGUUCUUUCAUUUCCGUUGCCAUUUUGGCUCCUGCUUUGUUAUGGGGACAGGAGCCCAACUGUUCCCUUGAAAUUUAUCAUUUCAGGUCAGUAAAACUAGAUUUCCGGUGUGAAACCUUCCAUUUACUAAGUGCUGGCCCUGUCAGUCCCCCGACCGGCUGCAUCCCUGCCUCCCUUAUUUCCUUUCAUGUAACCCCUCGUAUCCAUUUAAAUUUUUUUUGCUAAUUGUAUCUUUAAUAAAAUUUCCAGCCUGUGUACCUUCUGUCGC